rnacentral:ncRNA from 1 species
GUAAACACUGAGAAGAAGAGAGUACACAUGAAGGAAUGGCAAAGAGAGUUCCGGUAGCUGAAAAGGGAUACAGGAGAGCAUGUGGAAGAUGGCUUUGGAGUGGCAUUGUCGAACCGGAAGGCUAGAUAAUGACGGGAUCGCCUGUUAUAGCGAAGAGUAUGAAGGUACUUGUAGAGGUCUGUGUCGUGAGAUACAGAUAAAGAGAAGUGGUAUCACGGACAAUAAUAGCCCGUCUUCUAU